rnacentral:rRNA from 1 species
AUGAACGCUGGCGGCGUGCCUAAUACAUGCAAGUCGAGCGAACAGACGAGGAGCUUGCUCCUCUGACGUUAGCGGCGGACGGGUGAGUAACACGUGGAUAACCUACCUAUAAGACUGGGAUAACUUCGGGAAACCGGAGCUAAUACCGGAUAAUAUAUUGAACCGCAUGGUUCAAUAGUGAAAGACGGUUUUGCUGUCACUUAUAGAUGGAUCCGCGCCGCAUUAGCUAGUUGGUAAGGUAACGGCUUACCAAGGCAACGAUGCGUAGCCGACCUGAGAGGGUGAUCGGCCACACUGGAACUGAGGCACGGUCCAGACUCCUACGGGAGGCAGCAGUAGGGAAUCUUCCGCAAUGGGCGAAAGCUUGACGGAGCAACGCCGCGUGAGUGAUGAAGGUCUUCGGAUCGUAAAACUCUGUUAUUAGGGAAGAACAAAUGUGUAAGUAACUAUGCACGUCUUGACGGUACCUAAUCAGAAAGCCACGGCUAACUACGUG